CAAAGGCAGGGUAGUAAGGAUUAAGUUUGACUACUGAAGACAGCUUUGUUGUAAAUGGUCUCUAAUGUCACUAAAGUAGCUUGGAAAGAAAGGCUUAUUAAACAAAUUUCUUGGGUUACAAAUCAUUGGAAGCAAUCACAUGUCAUGUUCAUUUGUUUAACCUGAAAGGUAUCCAUUUGGAUGUUUAAAGAAACGAUGCAAAUUAACAUUGUUCCCAGUGCCCGCAAGAAAGCUGGCUGGUCUUAAAGGACAUUCAGAGAGGCUCCUUGAAGAAGUCAGACUGACAUUGAGCAUACACUCCUGUGUUUUUACACCUCUUUUGCAAAAAAAGUCAUUCAUGGAAAUCUGAAGAAGAAUGGGAUAUGAUUUAUGAGUCCACCAAUGGGAAACCCCAAAGGAACCUUGUCCACCUAGUCCAAUGCUGUCAUCCCACAAACAGAGAAAUCAGUUCUGUUCAGAUCACAGUUCUGAGUCUGUAGAUUAUAACAGACCAUAAGAAGACAGGCUUCUCUGGUGCAACCACUCUGGAAAACAGCUUGGAGGUUCCUCAAAAUGUUGAAAAUAGAACUACCCUAUGACCCAGCAAUUGCACUACUGGGUAUUUACCCUAAAGAUACAAACAUAGUGAUCCAAAGGGGCACG
rnacentral:lncRNA from 1 species